UGGAUCCAGACUUUGAUUAUGGCUCAGAUUGAACGCUGGCGGCAUGCCUUACACAUGCAAGUCGAACGGCAGCAUGGAGAGCUUGCUCUCUGAUGGCGAGUGGCGAACGGGUGAGUAAUACAUCGGAACGUGUCCGUUUGUGGGGGACAACCGUCCGAAAGAAUGGCUAAUACCGCAUAAGACCUGAGGGUGAAGCCGGGGACCGCAAGGCCCGGCGCAGACGGAGCGGCCGAUGAUUGAUUAGCUAGUUGGGGAGGUAAAGGCUCACCAAGGCGACGAUCAAUAGCUGGUCUGAGAGGACGACCAGCCACACUGGAACUGAGACACGGUCCAGACUCCUACGGGAGGCAGCAGUGGGGAAUUUUGGACAAUGGGGGCAACCCUGAUCCAGCCAUGCCGCGUGCGGGAAGAAGGCCUUCGGGUUGUAAACCGCUUUUGUCAGGGACGAAAAGCUCCGGAGUAAUAUGCCGGAGUGCUGACGGUACCUGAAGAAUAAGCACCGGCUAACUACGUGCCAGCAGCCGCGGUAAUACGUAGGGUGCGAGCGUUAAUCGGAAUUACUGGGCGUAAGGCGUGCGCAGGCGGUUGGGUAAGACAGAUGUGAAAUCCCCGGGCUUAACCUGGGAACUGCAUUUGUGACUGUCCGACUGGAGUACGUCAGAGGGGGGUGGAAUUCCACGUGUAGCAGUGAAAUGCGUAGAUAUGUGGAAGAACACCGAUGGCGAAGGCAGCCCCCUGGGACGCAACUGACGCUCAUGCACGAAAGCGUGGGGAGCAAACAGGAUUAGAUACCCUGGUAGUCCACGCCCUAAACGAUGUCUGCUGGUUGUUGGGAAUUUAAUUCUCAGUAACGAAGCCAACGCGUGAAGCAGACCGCCUGGGGAGUACGGUCGCAAGAUUACAACUCAAAGGAAUUGACGGA
rnacentral:rRNA from 1 species